UUCAAAAUUCUUUCCUUUUAUCUUCUCAGCAUCUGGAGAGAGGGAGAGAGAGAGAGAAAGGGCGCGUUCAUGAGGACUACAAAGUUACAAAUAUGGCUCCCCAGUCUCUCUUGCCUGAUCACUGCAAAGAAAUGAAGACGCACUUUAAACUAAACCAUUCGCAACUCACUCGCAGUCCCUGCCUGCCUCUCCCUAGCCCAGCACCCUGCACAAAUAUUUGCCAACUAAACACGCCGAGAGAGAGAGCAGCGAGCAACUUAUUUUUUAUUUAAUGCACGGCCAGCCCCUCUCCGAGGCAUCGCAGCCCGGCACGGGCAGGAGCAGCCCCGGGGAGCCCCCGAACGUCCCCGGAGCGCCCAAAGCGGGGGGCGCAGCCCCCCACACACACAGGUGCUGCUGGAUGAGGAUCCAAGCCCAAAUGCUGCUCUUUUCCAAGGAUUUUUGGGAUUUCUAAACUCUUCCCAUCAGCUGGAGCAGAACUCAGGGCAGGAUGAAGAUAAAGUCUCAGCUGUGAACAUGGAAAAAUUCCAGGAAUGUGGAUGAAAACAGCAAGAAUUCCAUUGGGAAUGGGGCGGGAAAGGCUGGGUCUAACUCCAGAUGUGUGCAGAGGUGACUCCUGGGCUGAAUCUUCAGGAAUUUUUCAUGGAAUUUCUGCUCCUGGUGCUGCUGAAAACCUUUGGAAAAGAACUUCUCUCCUGGAAAAAAAAAUUCCUGGGACAAGCUGGGAUUCAAAAGGAAUUUCUGGGAAUCCAGAGCUGCUUUUUCCUUUGUUUUUUUCCAGAGAAAAAUGUGGAUUUUGAUGGUGCAGAAAAUUCCUUUUUCUUUGAUUAUUCAGGGGAUUUAUUCCCAGUUCCAAACCAAAAUUCCGUGUUUAAAGCUGCUUCUGCCAUUGGUUGUACUCCAAGAGAUUGGGAAUUAAAAAAAAAAAAAAAAAAA